UGCAGAAAGAGACUCCUGCUCAGCACCCUGAGCCCUUCCCACCAGGCAUGUGGGUGCCACAUGGAACUAGCACAUCUGUAACGCGGGGCAUGCAGCUGUGGCAGCCACCUUUGACUUUGUAGCUCCAACUGCUAACUCUCUGGUGCCACUGCUGGGUCGGGUGAGCUCUUUGGCAACACAACCUCGGACCAGGAUUGGAACUUCCACUCCUGGAGCCGUAGAUCUGCCUCAACAGCUUGGAGAACAAGCUCUCUUCCCAGGUCCAACAGCUCGUCCUCGGGCCCCACCACCCUGUGAUUAUCGCCUUUCCUCUGCUCAUUAGAUGUCCUGGGGAGYCCAAACUGGGCACAGUGACAAGGAAGCYGUUGACGGCUACUGAGAGCCGCGGAGGCCACUGAGAGGGUCAUGCCUGGAGCAUCUGCCUGCAA